rnacentral:rRNA from 1 species
AGUGAACGCUGGCGGUAGGCCUAACACAUGCAAGUCGAACGGCAGCACAGAGGAGCUUGCUCCUUGGGUGGCGAGUGGCGGACGGGUGAGGAAUACAUCGGAAUCUACUUUUUCGUGGGGGAUAACGUAGGGAAACUUACGCUAAUACCGCAUACGACCUACGGGUGAAAGCAGGGGACCUUCGGGCCUUGCGCGAUUGAAUGAGCCGAUGUCGGAUUAGCUAGUUGGCGGGGUAAAGGCCCACCAAGGCGACGAUCCGUAGCUGGUCUGAGAGGAUGAUCAGCCACACUGGAACUGAGACACGGUCCAGACUCCUACGGGAGGCAGCAGUGGGGAAUAUUGGACAAUGGGCGCAAGCCUGAUCCAGCCAUACCGCGUGGGUGAAGAAGGCCUUCGGGUUGUAAAGCCCUUUUGUUGGGAAAGAAAUCCAGCCGGCUAAUACCUGGUUGGGAUGACGGUACCCAAAGAAUAAGCACCGGCUAACUUCGUGCCAGCCGCCGCAGUAACAC